rnacentral:misc_RNA from 1 species
GAUGAAGAACGUAGCGAAAUGCGAUAAGUAAUGUGAAUUGCAGAAUUCAGAGAAUCAUCGAAUCUUUGCACGCACAUUGCGCCCCUUGGUAUUCCGAGGGGCAUGCCUGUUCGAGCGUCAUUAUAACCCCUCAAGCUCAGCUUGGUGUUGGGGCCUGCUGCACUGGCAGCCCUUAAAAUCAGUGGCGGCGCCAUCUGGCUCUAAGCGUAGUAAUUCUUCUCGCUAUGGAGUCCUGGUGGAUGCUUGCCAUCAACCCCCAAUUUUUCUAUGGUUGACCUCGGAUCAGGUAGGGAUACCCGCUGAACUUAAGCAUAUCAAUAAGCGGAGGA